AUUGAACGCUGGCGGCAUGCCUUACACAUGCAAGUCGAACGGCAGCAUAGGAGCUUGCUCCUGAUGGCGAGUGGCGAACGGGUGAGUAAUAUAUCGGAACGUGCCCUGGAGUGGGGGAUAACUAGUCGAAAGACUAGCUAAUACCGCAUACGAUCUACGGAUGAAAGUGGGGGAUCGCAAGACCUCAUGCUCCUGGAGCGGCCGAUAUCUGAUUAGCUAGUUGGUGGGGUAAAAGCCUACCAAGGCGACGAUCAGUAGCUGGUCUGAGAGGACGACCAGCCACACUGGGACUGAGACACGGCCCAGACUCCUACGGGAGGCAGCAGUGGGGAAUUUUGGACAAUGGGGGCAACCCUGAUCCAGCAAUGCCGCGUGAGUGAAGAAGGCCUCCGGGUUGUAAAGCUCUUUUGUCAGGGAAGAAACGGUAGUAGCUAAUAUCUAUUACUAAUGACGGUACCUGAAGAAUAAGCACCGGCUAACUACGUGCCAGCCGCCGCAGUAA
rnacentral:rRNA from 1 species